AGUGAGUUCUUGUCUAGUUUAUAAAAUUUUAGUUUAUAGGAUUUAGAUAUAUUAAAAUUAUUUUUCAAUAUAAAUUUUUUAGUAAUUUGAAAUAAAAAGAUUUUGAUUAAGACUAUAGUGAAUAGUACUGUGAAGGAAUGAUGAAAUAAUAUGAAAUACUUUAAUUAGAAAAAAGUAAAAGUUAAAUUUUGUACCUUGUGUAUUAGGGAAGAUUAAAAUUAUCUAUUUACAUUUAGAAAUCCCGAAAAAAGAAGAGUUAAUAUAAAAUAAAGCUUUUCGUCUUAAAGAAAUCUUUAAUUUUAUAUUAGUGAUGAAAUGUCAGUCGUUUCUUUAUAUCUGGUUAUUAACGAAUUAAAUUUAAUUUAGUUAUUUUUUGAUUAGUUUUAAAUUAAAGAAUAAUAAAGAAUAGGAGGGAAGAGCUUCUUAUUCUAUAAUAAAUUUAUUAUGAAAUCAUUUUAUAUUUUUGUAUUAAAUUAGGCUUAAAAGCAGCCAAAUUUGUAAAGCGUUCUAGCUAAUAUGUGUAAUUCUUAUUAUUUAAUUGGUAUCUAAUUUUGGUAGUUAAUAAUUUUAUAUAAUGUAAGAUUAAAAGUUAUAAUGAUUUUAUUAGUAGAGAUAAUUGUGUAAACUAAGUUUAGAAUAAUAUAAGAAGUAUUAAAUUUGAAAUGUAUAAUAAAGGAACUCGGCAAACACUAUUUUUGCCUGUUUAUCAAAAACAUGUCUGUAUGGUUGUUAUAUAGAGUCUAGCCUGCCCACUGAUAAAAGUUAAAGGGCCGCGGUAUUUUGACCGUGCGAAGGUAGCAUAAUCAUUAGUCUUUUAAUUGGAGGCUUGUAUGAAUGGUUGGACAAAAAAUAAGCUGUCUCUGUUUUAAUUCUUGAAUUUAACUUUUAAGUGAAAAGGCUUAAAUGUUCUAGGGGGACGAUAAGACCCUAUAAAGCUUUACAGUGUGUUAAUUAAAUUUUAAACUGUUAGUAUUAACUUAAUUUAUUUAAUAACUGUUUCGUUGGGGCGACGAAAAUAUAAUGAAUAGUAACUGUUUUUCUUUGUAAAAUAACAAUAAAUUUUUGGAAGUAAUUGAUCCUUUUUUAAAGAUUAAAAGAUUAAGUUACUUUAGGGAUAACAGCGUAAUCUUCUUUGAGAGUUCAUAUCGACAAGAAGGGUUGCGACCUCGAUGUUGAAUUAAGGUUUCCUUGAGGUGUAGCAGUUUCAUGGGAGGGUCUGUUCGACCUUUAAAUCCUUACAUGAUUUGAGUUCAGACCGGCGUGAGCCAGGUCGGUUUCUAUCUCCUAGAUAUAAAAGAUUAUUCUAGUACGAAAGGAUUGAGUAGUCAAAAUAAUUUUUAUAAAAGAGUAAUGUUAAUGA
rnacentral:rRNA from 1 species